rnacentral:rRNA from 1 species
UCGAGAAUCUUCGGCAAUGGGCGCAAGCCUGACCGAGCGACGCCGCGUGUGGGAUGAAGGCCUUCGGGUUGUAAACCACUGUCAGAGGGGAUGAAAUGCAGGUGGGUUCUCCCAUCUGUUUGACAUAGCCUCAGAGGAAGGACGGGCUAAGUUCGUGCCAGCAGCCGCGGUAAGACGAACCGUCCAAACGUUAUUCGGAAUUACUGGGCUUAAAGGGUGCGUAGGCGGCGCGGAAAGUUGGGUGUGAAAUCCCUCGGCUCAACCGAGGAACUGCGCCCAAUACUACCGUGCUUGAGGGAGAUAGAGGUGAGCGGAACUUAGGGUGGAGCGGUGAAAUGCGUUGAUAUCCUAAGGAACACCUGUGGCGAAGGCGGCCACCUGGUUGGAUACUGACGCUGAGACGCGAAAGCGUGGGGAGCAAACAGGAUUAGAUACCCCCGUAGUCCCUGAGCGGGCUGGCAAGGCGCAU